rnacentral:rRNA from 1 species
CACGAACGCUGGCGGCGUGCCUAACACAUGCAAGUCGAGCGAGUGAAUCUCCUUAGGGAGUGAAGCUAGCGGCGGACGGGUGAGUAACACGAGGGCAACCUGCCUCAUAGAGGGGAAUAGCGUUCCGCAAGGGGGAUUAUUACCGCAUACGGAUGUAGCUUUGCAUGAAGAAGCGAUUAAAGGAGCAAUCCGCUCUGGUAUGGGCCCGCGGCGCAUAAGAUAGUUGGUGAGGUAAUGGCUUACAAAGGCGACGAUGCGUAGCCGACCCGAGGGGGUGAUCGGCCACAUUGAGACUGAGACACAGCCCAGACUCCUACGGGAGGCAGCAGUGCGUAAUAUUGCACAAUGGGGGAAACCCUGAUGCACCAACGCCGCGUGAGUGAUGACGGCCUUCGGGUUGUAAAGCUCUGUCUUCAGGGACGAUAAUGACGGUACCUGAGGAGGAAGCCACGGCUAACUACGUGCCAGCCGCCGCAGUAACAC